GACGAACGCUGGCGGCGUGCUUAACACAUGCAAGUCGAACGGGAUUUAGUAAACAGCCCCCUCGGUGGAAGAUUACUAAUGAGAGUGGCGAACGGGUGAGUAACGCGUGAGCAACCUGCCUAUGACAGUGGGAUAGCCUCGGGAAACCGGGAUUAAUACCGCAUAAAAUCGUAGAAACACAUGUUUUAACGGUCAAAGAUUUAUCGGUCAUAGAUGGGCUCGCGUCUGAUUAGCUAGUUGGUGAGAUAACAGCCCACCAAGGCGACGAUCAGUAGCCGGUCUGAGAGGAUGAACGGCCACAUUGGAACUGAGACACGGUCCAAACUCCUACGGGAGGCAGCAGUGGGGAAUAUUGCACAAUGGGGGAAACCCUGAUGCAGCGACGCCGCGUGAACGAAGAAGGUAUUCGUAUCGUAAAGUUCUGUCCUAUGGGAAGAUAAUGACAGUACCAUAGAAGAAGGCUCCGGCUAAAUACGUG
rnacentral:rRNA from 1 species